rnacentral:rRNA from 1 species
AUUGAACGCUGGCGGCAGGCCUAACACAUGCAAGUCGAGCGGAUGAAGGGAGCUUGCUCCUGGAUUCAGCGGCGGACGGGUGAGUAAUGCCUAGGAAUCUGCCUGGUAGUGGGGGAUAACGUCCGGAAACGGGCGCUAAUACCGCAUACGUCCUGAGGGAGAAAGUGGGGGAUCUUCGGACCUCACGCUAUCAGAUGAGCCUAGGUCGGAUUAGCUAGUUGGUGGGGUAAAGGCCUACCAAGGCGACGAUCCGUAACUGGUCUGAGAGGAUGAUCAGUCACACGGGAACUGAGACACGGCCCGGACUCCUAGGGGGGGCGGCGGUGGGAAAUUUUGGACAGGGGGCGAAGCCCGGAUCCACCCGGGCGGCGUGUGUAAAGAAGGUCUUGGUUUUGUAAAACAUUUUAAUUUGGGAGAAAGGCAAGUAAUUAAAUCCCUUCUUUUUUUGACUUUCCCAAAAAAAAAGCCCCCGGCUAACUUCGUC